GUGCUCGCUUUGGCAGCACAUAUGCUAAAAUUGGAACGGUACAGAGAAGGUUGGCACGGCCCCUGCACAAGGAUGACAAGCAAAUUCGUGCAGCGUUCCAGAUUUUU